ensembl:misc_RNA 7SK 7SK RNA
GAAUGGAAGGGCAAUCUAGUUGGGAUACCUGUUGCCACAUUGAUACCAGGGCUGAUUAGGUUCAUAUGGCUGGCUAGGCAGAUAUUACCUUACUCCCCUACAGUGACAUGUUCAACCCCUCCACCACCAACCAUACAUCCCUAAGAUCCUUUCUCAGUCAGCUGAACAAGUCUUUUCCCAAUGGAGUCUUCCUCAGUCUAGUUUAUGAGUUAUCUUUGCUCCUCCAUUAGAACUUCUAAGCAAGCAAUAAAGUUAGAAGCAGCAUGAAAAUGGUUGGUAGCACAAACAUUCAAACCGCAUCCACACCCCACAUG